GAUGAACGCUGGCGGCGUGCUUAACACAUGCAAGUCGAACGAAGCACUUUAUUUGAUUUCCUUCGGGACUGAUUAUUUUGUGACUGAGUGGCGGACGGGUGAGUAACGCGUGGGUAACCUGCCUUGUACAGGGGGAUAACAGUUGGAAACAGCUGCUAAUACCGCAUAAGCGCACGGCAUCGCAUGAUGCAGUGUGAAAAACUCCGGUGGUAUAAGAUGGACCCGCGUUGGAUUAGCUAGUUGGUGAGGUAACGGCCCACCAAGGCGACGAUCCAUAGCCGACCUGAGAGGGUGACCGGCCACAUUGGGACUGAGACACGGCCCAAACUCCUACGGGAGGCAGCAGUGGGGAAUAUUGCACAAUGGGCGAAAGCCUGAUGCAGCGACGCCGCGUGAGCGAAGAAGUAUUUCGGUAUGUAAAGCUCUAUCAGCAGGGAAGAUAAUGACGGUACCUGACGAAGAAGCACCGGCUAAAUACGUG
rnacentral:rRNA from 1 species